CUUGGUGCUGUGACCACUUCCCUGGGAAGCCUGUUCCAGUGCCCAAACACCCUCUGGGUAAUGACUCUUUUCUAAUAUCCACCUCAACCUCCCUGACACAACUUCAGGCCAUUUCCUUGGGUCUUGUCACCACAGACAAGAGAUCAGGGGCUGCCCUCCUCUUCCCCUCACAAGGAAGGAGGACAAGGAAUGUAACUGCAUUGAGGCCUCCCCUCAGUCUCCUCCAGGCUGAACAGACCAAGUGCCCUCAGUCACUCCUCAUACAGCUUCCCAUCAAGGACCUUCACCAUCUUUGUUGCUCUCCUUUGGACACUCUCUAAUAAGUUAUAUCCUUCUUACAUUGUGGUGUCCAAAACUGCACACAAUAUUCAAGGACUUCGAGGUCCCUUUCCAUGCCACUGCUUUAUAGAAUCUCAUUCUCCAGUCUGUCUGUACAGCCAGAGUUGCCCCACGCCAGGUUUAGAACCCAGCACUUGUUGAACUUCCUAUGUUUGGUGAUUGCCCAGCCCUCUGAUCUGUCGAGGUCUCUCUGCAGGGCCUCUCUGCCCUCAAGGGAGUCAACAGCUCCUCCCAGUUUUGUAUCAUUUGUGAAUUUGCUCAGUGCCCCUUCAAGUCCUGCAUCCAAGCUGUUCAUGAAGAUGUUGAAGAGCACAGGGCUGAGGAUGGCACCUGUAGAACCCCACUAGUGAAAGUCCCCAGUCUGAUGUCACCGAUUCAUGAUAAGCCCUUGUGUCUGAUCCAUGAGGCAGUUGCUCACCCAUUACAUGAUGUGGAUGUUUAUCCAGCUGUGCACUAGACAUUUAUUCCAGAGGACACUCUGAGAGACAGCAUUGAGAGCUUUACUGAAAUCCCAAAAUAUACCAUUAACUGGCUUCCCUUGAUCAAAUCUGGUCGAGAUUUAAACUAGACACUGAAUGCAGAACCCCCCUGGGUGGAACAGGAAGAAGUUACAGAAGGUGGCUUAUAGAGCAGAGAUAUAAAAAAUGGUAGAACAUUUUUCUUGUAAAAACUUGUGUCAAAGCAUUGUCCAGAGAAGUCAAAGAUAAAUAUCAUAAAGACAAGUUUGCAAAAUGGCAAAUUUUCUUGUACCCUCAAAGUUUCAUUUUGUUCAACAACACAGGAGGCUUACUCCUUAGAACUUCUCUUUGGAAGUUUUGUAUCAUAGUAAUUCAAACUCUUCAAAUUUCAACUCCCUUUCAAUUUUUUUUCUGGGAAAAUUAAAACUCAUUCACUGAACUUUAUCAUUAACAAUUUUUUUAUUUACAGAGUAAGCCAUCCUCACUAAGAAAAGAUGACACAAAAGCUCUGAAUGAAAAGGAAUCUUUUACAAGAAAAGGGUGAGAGAGCUGGGCCUAUUAAGACCUGAGAAAACAUAACUGAGAGGGGACCUCGUUGAAGCCUCCCAAUGAAGGGAGGGUGUUAGAGGAUGUUCCAGGCUCACCUUAAUGGUGCCAAGCAAUAAGAGAAGAGGCAAUGGGCAGAAACUGAUGCACAGGAGGUUCCGUCUGAACAUGAGGAAAACUUCUUUACUGUGCAGAUGACUGAGCUCUGGAACUGAUUACCAAACGACCCCACCAUGGUCCCUUCCAACCAUGCUGUGAUUCUGUGGUGUGUCACAUGCUGUCUAACUUGAACGUAAAAUCUCUGAAUAUUCCUGUCUGCAUAGAACACAAUACUACAAGACACUAAGUGUAAAAAAUCUUUGCUAACUUAAAAGGCAAGAAAUAAAUUCAGACAAUUUUUUAACAAGAUAGAAUAUGGAAGUAAAUUUCUAAGUACUUUAAAGACUAAUUUCAAAAAUCUGGUUACUUAAAUGAUUGCAACAGGUACUUAAAAGACACGAUUUAGUAUAUAUUUUCCUCCUGUUCUCAGUCAUAAGCAGAAAUAUCUGUAGGCACUCAUACAUAUAGAUAUACCCACAUUUUAAAUAUUCAUAGCACAUCUGUUUAUGGCAUAUGAAUAUUCAUAAAGAAAUUAGAGGGAUGCUGACAGAGAGACGUGUAAAUGAAAUAGCUUCUCAAAGAUACGAAAGCAGAUAGUAUGCAGAGGUAUAAAUACACUGAAAUUUCUGUGCUUUCAUUGGGACUACUGUCUACUGAGCCUACAUCACUUCUCUGUACAAGACAAAGCCUCAGCUCUUCAACCUAAUAAAUGCACAUGAAAACAACCAUUACAACUUUCCAUUGCUAGGAUAUUUUGGAGAGAAAAGGGGAAAUUCCUCAACACACACAAUAAGAUUCCCUUGCUUAUAUUAUUGUGGAGAUAUUUUGGAGAUGAAAUAGGAAAUAUUUUGGAUAUUUUGGAGAUGAAAGGGGAAAUUCCUUAAAACCCAAGUUGAAGCUUCACAUAAAGUCAGAUUAAUUUCCUGUAGGAUAUUAAAACUCCUAAAAAGACCAAAAAAACAAAACACAAAAACAAAACCAAAACUAAAAAAAACCAAACCAACCCACCACCGCAAAAAGCCACCGAAAAAACAAACAGAAACCCCCCAAAAACCACCCCAAAAAACCCACAAAAAACCCAACCAACCAACCAAACAGACAAAAAACCCAAACAAAAACCACACAAUAAAUCCAAAAUAAGGUCAGAGGGCUGGAGCCCCUCUCCUAUGAAGACAAGCUGAGGAAGCUGGAGUUGUUCAGCCUGGAGAAGAGAAGGCUCCAGGCAGACUUUACAGCAGCCUUCCACUACCCAAAUGGGGCACACAAGAGAGUUGGAAAGGGGUGUUUUACUAGGGUAUGAAGUGAUUGGGGAGGGGGGAAUGGCUUUAAACUGAAAGGGAUCAAGUUUAGAUUAGAUAUUAGGAAGAAAUGUUUUACUGUGAGGGUGAUGAGCACUGGAGCAGGGUACCCAGAAAAGCUGUGGCUGCCCCAUUCCUGGAAGUGUUCAUGGCCAGGAUGGGUGGAGCGUUGAACAGUCUGGUGUACUGGAAGGUGUCCCUGCCUAUGGUAGAGGGGGGUUGGAACUAAAUGACCUUCAAGGUCCGUUCCAACCCAAACCAUUCUAUGACUCUAUGGUAAAUAAAGAUCAAUACAUUUUAGACUGCAAUUGUAAUAGAAAAGAGAAAUAGUUUGCCUGAAAGUUUCAAACCACAUUUAGUCUGAUAAAUGUAAUAGAUACAAUUAGACAACCCAAAUGCUUACUUAUAUAUUUAGCAUUGAUAUCUUUCUUGAAUAUAUCAGUUUUCUGAAGAGGUGUUUUCAACUAUACAUGAUUCCAAAAUAAUUUAAGUUAACCUUACAUGUAUACUGCCUCAAAACCUUUAACACAUAAACUGUCAUUGAAAUAAAGUUUUAAUUAAUAAUGUAACAAUUCCACACCAUAACAAUAACAAGUGUAUUUAUCUUGACAUUGAUUUGCUCUGCAAAAAAACCCCAAAAGUAACAGAAACGGUAACUCCCAUACUUGCAUGACUGACUUAAAAUAUUCCUGGAUCCAUUCUGAACAGAAAUUAAUGAAGUUACAUAUUAGGUUCUAAAAUUACUAUUACAUGUUACGGCUGUUGAGCUGGUAAUGGGUUGGUGCAACAUCUUCUCCAGUUCUGGGGGUGUUAUGAAAUUAAUGCAUGUGAGAACAAUCUCUACUCCUGAAGCUGAAGUGUUGUAUUAUUCAACUGCAGAAACAAUAGCUCUGAAUACCAAACUUAAGAUCAUCCACACCAAAUGGCACAAAACAAACUACACCAGUCUUACUCUGGAAUCUCUAUUCAACUUCCAAUGAUAAAAUUCAGGGCAUCCAUUUCACAUAGCACAAUUUCUACAUGUAGUUCCAGUCUCUGUAUCUCUGAAGUGUACUGCUAAGGAGUCGAGCAGCUGCCCUAUACAUAAGUGAAGAAAUUUGGAACUCUCAGAAGUAAAAGUCUGCAGAGAAUAGGAGCAAGUUUGUAAGAUCCUAACAACAGUGGGUUAAGGGGAAUACCAAAGGGAUUUUCACCAAGCUCCAUGCAACACCAAAACACAGCAUCAACCCAGGAAGCAAACAAAAAUAACUCAUUUAGACAGCAGGUAGUGAACUUGGGAAAUCUGUCAUCACAAGGGUUCUCCAGGCUGACAGCAUUUAUCUGCAUUAUCAGUAUUACUGAAAAGAUAAAUUGGAUAUAAUAAAGGAAAACAGUUUCCAAAGUUAGACUAUGGUUUAGUGUCUUGCACUGUCACUAUCAGAAACAGAUUGGUGGGGUCAGACUGCAGUUCUGACCUCAGUAAGAACCUGCUUCUGUUUGAAUUCUUAACUUCUAUUUUCUUAUCUUGCAUUUGAAGUGUACUUAGAGGUACUGCAAAUCCUGACCACAAAAAGAUCAGUUUUCCAUCCUUGACUUCUGGCCCUCUUUGUAGGAAGACUGUCAGAAAAGCCUGAUAGAUUAAUUUUACUACAAUAUUUCAGAGCAGCACUAUAUGAAGGACUUCAUUCUAUAAUGCAGCUCGCAACAGAGAAACUGGUAGCUUAUCUGCAUCGGUGUUUGCUGAGCCUAAAAACAUCACCACAGUACUGUAGCAAUGCUCUUUGUGACAUCGUGACAAGUGAUUUUCUAACUUGAAUUUAGGCACAACCAACUUCAGUUGUCAAGGUUGUUAGGUUAGCUCCCACAAACAAUUUUUACAGGAUUCAUUCAACCAAAUGCUUGGCAACUCUGUGCAGCAGAGGUUAAAAUCUGUAAGAAACUGAUCUGCUUGUACAAGCAUUCAUAUCAUCUACUGCUUAUGUUACCUCACACAAAGACCCAUGUAUCAAAUCUUGAUCCUCAAUCUGUUCUCCAGGCUGCUUUAUCAGAUUACUUUUUAGUCUCAGGAAAGUAUUCCAUGCGGGGUUUUAUCUGAGGGCAUUACUGCAAAAGAGUCUGCUUCUCAUUGAAAACUUUGCAAAGACAAAAGUGUGAGAAAGCUCAUGUAGUCACUAUAAUCCUAAUUCCUUCCAAGAAAUUGGAAGUUCAUGACAUCCAA